UUUGGCUACUCCGUCCUUAAUACAUUUGGUUCCGGAUAUUGGAUGCUUGAUAUAGAAAUGGAUUGUUCCGAAACUGAUUCUGGUUGGUUCCAGUUUAAGACAUACAUUACACCUACCAGUGGCUGGGAGCCUGAUAUAGGUCAAACACAAGCUUGUGGAGGUGAUGUAGGCGGGCGACGACCAUUUCUAACAAAUAAUCACCAGGCCAGGUGCGGAAAGUUGAAUUUAUUUUAUUACGCAAGUGCCGGUUGUAUUAUUAAUAACAUUCCGACAUCAUUACCAACAACAACACCUACUCCAGAAGAAUGUGGCAUUAAGCAUGUUUCUCAAUCAAGAAUAGUCAAUGGUCAUCCUGCUGCUGAAGGGGUGUGGCCCUGGAUGACAGAAGUUCUAUAUCAGGACAAUCAUGGAUGUGGAGCCGUUUUGAUAUCUUCUACCUGGGCGAUAACAGCUGGCCAUUGUGUACGCACGGCCAAGACAUACGGACCAUGGGCUACGAUACUUAGAACUAGUGAAACCAACAGACACAUUAUCAAUGGAAGGGAGCGGGAUUAUUUUGUCAAAAAUAUAAUAAAACAUCCUUUAUUUGAUAAAGCAGGAGCUGGGUUGGUUAACAAUGAUCACGAUAUUGCUCUAUUAGAAUUAGUUGCUCCGGUUGAAAUAAAAAAGAAUGAUGUAACAGCUGCCUGUCUUCCUAUUACACUUCCAAUAGAUGAAUUUGUUGAUAAAGAAUGUUGGAUCACUGGAUGG